rnacentral:rRNA from 1 species
UACGUAGGGGGGCAAGCGUUGUCCGGAUUCAUUGGGCGUAAAGAGCGUGUAGGCGGCAGGUAGGUCGGUUGUGAAAACUGGAGGCUCAACCUUCAGAGGUCGACCGAAACCAUCUGGCUAGAGUCCGGGAGAGGAGAGUGGAAUUCCUGGUGUAGCGGUGAAAUGCGCAGAUAUCAGGAAGAACACCCGUGGCGAAAGCGGCUCUCUGGAACGGUACUGACGCUGAGACGCGAAAGCGUGGGGAGCGAACAGG